ACAGUGGACGCGAGCAUCUGUGGCCAAGUUUUUAAGGGCGCACGGUGGAUGCCUUGGCACCAGGAACCGAUGAAGGACGUGGGAGGCCACGAUAGUCCCCGGGGAGUCGUCAACCAGGCUUUGAUCCGGGGGUUUCCGAAUGGGGAAACCCGGCAGUCGUCAUGGGCUGUCACCCGCUGCUGAACACAUAGGCAGUGUGGAGGGAACGCGGGGAAGUGAAACAUCUCAGUACCCGCAGGAAGAGAAAACAACCGUGAUUCCGGGAGUAGUGGCGAGCGAAACCGGAUGAGGCCAAACCGUAUACGUGUGAGACCCGGCAGGGGUUGCGUGUGCGGGGUUGUGGGAUCUCUCUUUCACAGUCUGCCGGCUGUGAGACGAGUCAGAAACCGUUGAUGUAGGCGAAGGACAUGCGAAAGGUCCGGCGUAGAGGGUAAGACCCCCGUAGUCGAAACAUCAGCGGCUCGUUUGAGAGACACCCAAGUAGCACGGGGCCCGAGAAAUCCCGUGUGAAUCUGGCGGGACCACCCGUUAAGCCUAAAUAUUCCCUGGUGACCGAUAGCGGAUAGUACCGUGAGGGAAUGGUGAAAAGUACCGCGGGAGCGGAGUGAAAUAGUACCUGAAACCGUGUGCCUACAAGCCGUGGGAGCGUCGGGAUGGAGCUUGCUCCAUCCUCGUGACUGCGUGCCUUUUGAAGAAUGAGCCUGCGAGUUUGCGGUGUGUUGCGAGGUUAACCCGUGUGGGGAAGCCGUAGCGAAAGCGAGUCCGAAUAGGGCGAUUUAGUAGCGCGCUCAAGACCCGAAGCGGAGUGAUCUAGCCAUGGGCAGGUUGAAGCGGCUGUAAGAGGUCGUGGAGGACCGAACCCACCAGGGUUGAAAACCUGGGGGAUGACCUGUGGUUAGGGGUGAAAGGCCAAUCAAACUCCGUGAUAGCUGGUUCUCCCCGAAAUGCAUUUAGGUGCAGCGUCGUGUGUUUCUUGCCGGAGGUAGAGCACUGGAUAGGCGAUGGGCCCUACCGGGUUACUGACCUUAGCCAAACUCCGAAUGCCGGUAAGUGAGAGCGCGGCAGUGAGACUGUGGGGGAUAAGCUCCAUGGUCGAGAGGGAAACAGCCCAGAGCAUCGACUAAGGCCCCUAAGCGUACGCUAAGUGGGAAAGGAUGUGGAGUCGCACAGACAACCAGGAGGUUGGCUUAGAAGCAGCCACCCUUGAAAGAGUGCGUAAUAGCUCACUGGUCUAGUGAUUCCGCGCCGACAAUGUAGCGGGGCUCAAGCGUACCGCCGAAGUCGUGUCAUU
rnacentral:rRNA from 1 species